AAGUAGGAAUUCUGAUGCUCUGGU
rnacentral:piRNA from 1 species